rnacentral:lncRNA from 10 species
CAGGCCAUUUUUAAGGGCAUAGUUGCAACCCUUGCUUAUGGGAAGAGAAGUACCUUCAGCCUCUGACCCCAUGUUUCUGUCUUGGUGUGUGGCAUCCAGCUUACUGUCUGCGUGUCUCUGAGCCAUGGAGUCUACUGUGGCUGAUGUACACCUCAUGCCCAGGACAACCAAGGAAGUCCCCACUCCGGACGCUGCAUGCUGUCGAGUGACCACCAUUGGUGUGGUGGCCACCAGCCUUGUCAUCCUCACCCUGGGAGUCCUUUUGGCCUUCCUCUCUACACAGGGCGUCCACAUGGACCACACGGCCGAGCUGCGGGGAAUCCGGUGGGCCAGCAGUUUGCAGCGGGAGGCCUCGGACUAUCACCGCACACUGACGCCCACCCUGGAGGCACUGUUUGUAAGUAGUUUUCAGAAGACAGAGUUAGAGGGAAGCUGCGUGGGUUGCACGGUGCUGAAUUACAGGGCCUCUCCUCCAUACCUGUAGGGAUGGGAACUCCAGUGUCCUCGUACAUUUCCAGUUGCACUUUCUGCUGCGACCCCUCCAGACGCUAAGCCUGGGCCUGGAGGAGGAGCUAUUGCAGAGAGGGAUCCAGGCAAGGCUGCGAGAGCGUGGCAUCUCCCUGGCUGCCUAUGGCACAAUCGUGUCAGCCGAGCUCACAGGUGAGAGGGCAGCCGAGACCGAAACCCCAUCACGAGGAGGCUGGAGGGCGGCAGGCGUUGCAAGAUACAUUUUGAUAAUCACCUCUUCCCAUAAAAAUAAAACAAACUGGCCAGGUGCAGUGGCUCACGCCUGUAAUCCCAGCACUUUGGGAGGCCAAGGCGGGUGGAUCACUUGAGGUCAGGAGUUGAGACCAGACUGGCCAAUAUGGUGAAACCCCAUCUCUACUAAAAAUACAAAGAUUAGUUGAGCAUGGUGGCGUGGACCUGUCAUCCCAGCUACACGGAAUUCUCCUGAGGCAGGAGAAUCGCUUGAACCCGGGAGGUGGAGGUUGCAGUGAGCCGAGAUCGUGCCAUUUUUUCCCACUCCAGCCUGGGAGAAAAAAGUGAAACUUCAUCUCAAAAGCAAACAAACGUAAAAACUGACAUUGCCUUUCCUUAAUGGUGUGGACCCCAGGGGUCAGCGAUCUUGUUUUAUAAAGAGAGUGUAAAUCUUUUCUUUUCUUUUUUUUUUUCUGGGACAGGGUCUCACUCUGUUGCCCAGGUUGGAG